rnacentral:rRNA from 1 species
UACGUAGGGGGCAAGCGUUGUCCGGAAUCAUUGGGCGUAAAGCGCGUGUAGGCGGUCCGGUAAGUCGUCUGUGAAAGUCCAGGGCUCAACCCUGGGAUGCCGGUCGAUACUGCCGGACUAGAGUUCGGAAGAGGCGAGUGGAAUUCCCGGUGUAGCGGUGAAAUGCGCAGAUAUCGGGAGGAACACCAAUGGCGAAGGCAGCUCGCUGGGACGUUACUGACGCUGAGACGCGAAAGCGUGGGGAGCAAACAGG